UCGGGAAACUUCUGCAAUGCGCGCAAGCGUGACAGAGCAAGCCAGAGUGCUUCUCUUUUUGAGAAGCUUUUGCACAAUGUAAAAAGUCGUGCGAAUAAGGACUGGGCAAGACUGGUGCCAGCCGCCGCGGUAAUCCCAGCAGUCCGAGUCGCAGCCACAUUUAUUGGGUCUAAAACAUCCGUAGCUCGCCUUGUAAGUCUUGUGUGAAAUCUGAUCUCUCAAGGAUCGGGCGUGCACAAGAUACUGCUUGGCUAGAGACCGGGAGACGUAAGGAGUACGAACAGAGUAGCGGUAAAAUGCGUUGAUCCCGUUCGGACUAACAAUAGCGAAGGCACCUUACGAGAACGGAUCUGACAGUGAGGGAUGAAGGCUAGGGGCGCAAAUUGG
rnacentral:rRNA from 1 species